GACGAACCGAGCGAACGUUGUUCGGAAUCACUGGGCUUAAAGGGCGCGUAGGCGGGCAUUCAAGUCUGUGGUGAAAUCCUCCAGCUCAACUGGAGAACUGCCGUGGAUACUGGGUGUCUCGAGGAAGGUAGGGGCAUGCGGAACUAAUGGUGGAGCGGUGAAAUGCGUUGAUAUCAUUAGGAACUCCGGUGGCGAAGGCGGCAUGCUGGACCUUUUCUGACGCUGAGGCGCGAAAGCCAGGGGAGCAAACGGG
rnacentral:rRNA from 1 species